UGGGGAAUUUUGGACAAUGGGCGAAAGCCUGAUCCAGCAAUGCCGCGUGUGUGAAGAAGGCCUUCGGGUUGUAAAGCACUUUUGUCCGGAAAGAAAUCCUUGGCUCUAAUACAGUCGGGGGAUGACGGUACCGGAAGAAUAAGCACCGGCUAACUACGUGCCAGCAGCCGCGGUAAUACGUAGGGUGCAAGCGUUAAUCGGAAUUACUGGGCGUAAAGCGUGCGCAGGCGGUUUGCUAAGACCGAUGUGAAAUCCCCGGGCUCAACCUGGACUGCAUGGUGACUGGCAGGCUAGAGUAUGGCAGAGGGGGUGAGAAUCCACGUGUAGCAGUGAAAUGCGUAGAGAUGUGGAGGAAUACCGAUGGCGAAGGCAGCCCCUGG
rnacentral:rRNA from 1 species